ensembl:misc_RNA
CAACCAAACACGCGUUCUUAGCUGCCCGGUGUGGCACGACCCUCCCCCCAUCUCCCUUUCAGGGCCUUCGCCAGUGUGGGAGCCUCGUCUCACUGGAGAGUCCCCUCAG